GGUGAACGCUGGCGGCGUGCUUAAGACAUGCAAGUCGAACGGCAGUCUUCGGACUGUAGUGGCGCAAGGGUGAGUAACGCGUAACUGACCUACCCCAAAGUCGCGGAUAACGAUUCGAAAGAAUCGCUAAUACGUGAUGUGCUGUCAGAUUGUGUUCUGCCAGUAAAGAUUGAUUGCUUUGGGAUGGGGUUGCGCUCCAUCAGCUAGUUGGUGGGGUAAAGGCCGACAAAGGCGACGACGGAUAGCCGGCCUGAGAGGGUGGCCGGCCACAGGGGAACUGAGACACGGGUCCCACGUCGUCGCGAGGCAGCAUUCAUGAAUCUUCCACCAUGGUCGAAAGCCUUAUCGAUCGACGCCGCGUGAGGGCGGAGUGUCUUCGCAUCGUAAACCUCUGCAUCAGGGACGAAAGACACUUCGGUGUGAUGACGGUACCGGAGUACUAGCCCCGGCUAACUCCGUGCCAGCCGCCGUGUAAGAC
rnacentral:rRNA from 1 species